AAGUCGUAACAAGGUCUCCGUUGGUGAACCAGCGGAGGGAUCAUUACAGAGUUGCAAAACUCCCCAAACCAUCGCGAACCCACCCCUAAACAGUUGCUUCGGCGGCGCCCGAAGGCCCUCAGCGGCCGGAAUGCCCGCCGGGGACCCCCCAAACUCUUGUUUUUAAGCAAACGGCCUCUCUGAGUACUGUACUGUAAUCAGUCAAAACUUUCAACAACGGAUCUCUUGGCUCUG
rnacentral:misc_RNA from 1 species